rnacentral:rRNA from 1 species
GGGUCAGUAGGUUGGUCGUGCCACCGGUACGUACUGGUCUCACUGAUCCCUCCUUCCUGAAGAACCGUAAUGCCAUUAAUUUGGUGUUGCGGGGAAACAGGACUGUUACUUUGAAAAAAUUAGAGUGUUUAAAGCAAGCUAACGCUUGAAUACAUUAGCAUGGAAUAAUGAAAUAGGACGAUCGAUCCUAUUUUGUUGGUUUCUAGGAUUGACGUA